rnacentral:rRNA from 1 species
CCUACGGGAGGCUGCAGUGGGGAAUAUUGCGCAAUGGGCGAAAGCCUGACGCAGCGACGCCGCGUGAGGGAUGAAGGUCUUCGGAUCGUAAACCUCUGUCAGCAGGGAAGAACGGUCACUGUGCUAAUCAGCAGUGAAUUGACGGUACCUGCAAAGGAAGCACCGGCUAACUCCGUGCCAGCAGCCGCGGUAAUACGGAGGGUGCGAGCGUUAAUCGGAAUUACUGGGCGUAAAGCGCUCGUAGGCGGUAUGUCAAGUCAAGGGUGAAAGCCCCGCGCUCAACGUGGGAACUGCCUUUGAAACUGGCAAACUGGAGUGUGUGAGAGGAUAGUGGAAUGCCAGGUGUAGGAGUGAAAUCCGUAGAUAUCUGGAAGAACAUCAGUGGCGAAGGCGACUAUCUGGCACAUAACUGACGCUGAGGAGCGAAAGCGUGGGUAGCAAACAGGAUUAGAUACCCCAGUAGUC